GUGGGGAAUCUUGCGCAAUGGGCGAAAGCCUGACGCAGCCAAGCCGCGUGAAUGAUGAAGGUCUUAGGAUUGUAAAAUUCUUUCACCGGGGACGAUAAUGACGGUACCCGGAGAAGAAGCUCCGGCUAACUUCGUGCCAGCAGCCGCGGUAAUACGAAGGGGGCUAGCGUUGCUCGGAAUUACUGGGCGUAAAGGGCGCGUAGGCGGACAGCUUAGUCAGAGGUGAAAGCCCAGGGCUCAACCUUGGAAUUGCCUUUGAUACUGGCUGUCUUGAGUUUGGGAGAGGUGAGUGGAACUCCGAGUGUAGAGGUGAAAUUCGUAGAUAUUCGGAAGAACACCAGUGGCGAAGGCGACUCACUGGCCCAAUACUGACGCUGAGGCGCGAAAGCGUGGGGAGCAAACAGGAUUAGAUACCCGAGUAGUCC
rnacentral:rRNA from 1 species